rnacentral:rRNA from 1 species
GACGAACGCUGGCGGCGUGCUUAACACAUGCAAGUCGAACGGUGAAGCGAGUGCUCGCACUCGUGGAUCAGUGGCGAACGGGUGAGUAACACGUGAGUAACCUGCCCAUCACUCUGGGAUAAGCACUGGAAACGGUGUCUAAUACUGGAUACGACCAACCCUUGCAUGGGGUGUUGGUGGAAAGAUUUAUCGGUGAUGGAUGGACUCGCGGCCUAUCAGCUUGUUGGCGGGGUAAUGGCCCACCAAGGCGACGACGGGUAGCCGGCCUGAGAGGGUGACCGGCCACACUGGGACUGAGACACGGCCCAGACUCCUACGGGAGGCAGCAGUGGGGAAUAUUGCACAAUGGGCGAAAGCCUGAUGCAGCGACGCCGCGUGAGGGAUGACGGCCUUCGGGUUGUAAACCUCUUUCAGCAGGGAAGAAGCGAAAGUGGCGGUACCUGCAGAAGAAGCACCGGCUAACUACGUG